GUUGAAUCUUUGGUCCGAAGGCUGCCAUAGGGCUCGACUCUCCUCUUUCAUCUCUAUUCUUCGACCUCUUCUGCGUACGGAGGUGCUCAAUUCCGUCUCUGGUCUCCAGCUCUUUGGCUACUCCCUUCAAUUCCCAAUUCAGGGUCUUCAGGGAAGGGAGAUUACGCGUCCAAGGGAAGACUAUGGCUGUAACAGCCCCAGGGCAGCUCAACGUUAACGAGUCUCCUUCGUGGGGAUCUAGAAGUGUCGACUGCUUUGAAAAACUGGAGCAGAUUGGUG
rnacentral:misc_RNA from 1 species